rnacentral:rRNA from 1 species
AAAUUGAAGAGUUUGAUCAUGGCUCAGAUUGAACGCUGGCGGCAGGCCUAACACAUGCAAGUCGAGCGGAAACGAGUUAUCUGAACCUUCGGGGAACGAUAACGGCGUCGAGCGGCGGACGGGUGAGUAAUGCCUAGGAAAUUGCCCUGAUGUGGGGGAUAACCAUUGGAAACGAUGGCUAAUACCGCAUGAUGCCUACGGGCCAAAGAGGGGGACCUUCGGGCCUCUCGCGUCAGGAUAU